CGGGUGGUGGGGACUCGAGCAAGGGAGCCCCUUGGAGAGAGACAAGAGGUGACUCGCACUGCAAACACAUUCAAGUCACUGUUUGGGUGUUUCUUGCAGUAUUUUCCCCCAACAGGUUUCAUGCAAGACUGUUCGGCUUUAAUCUGUUCUUUGAGUAGCCAGGGAAAGAAGAAAAGAAGAUUUCUGAAUUUCAAUCAGAGCACCCUUAUCUCAGCCUCCCCCAUCAGGCAUCUCCCCUCUCCCUGCCCUCCGGUGCCCCUCACGCAGUGAUUUACAUGCUGCGUGCAAGGCAAGGCACCUGGGAGGGAGGCAUGCUGCCCUUAUCUCCAGGACGGGGCUUGGAAAGCCGCGACGCAGAAGUCUCAGGAAUGAUUGCAGGUACCUGCCUCUACAUGAGCUCGUUUCAACAGCACGCUGAAAAGCAGCCGACACCUUCCUCGAAUAUAUAAUGGGAGAAUAUCAAAGAAAAGUAGGGGAGCAAUCUUGCCUCUAUUCAUUUUACUGCUGAAAGCAUUGCUAUGGAUGUUAUUUCCAGCUCGGGUGUCCAGAAUUAAGAAGGACACAGAAAUUCUGCAAAGGAAGGCCAUGCAUGCAGUCCAGGUAUCAGAAAACAAGCUCUGGUACAAGACUGGGGGUGCACAAACAGCUCAGCUUGCGGGAGAGAAGACUGAGGGAUGCCCUGAUCUCAGUGAGAACAGUUCUUGACAGUUCAGCAGCCUCAGUCUCGCAGAGAAGUGCACGACAAGAUCUGAAAGCCGAAGCAGAUGUUGGAAAAA